ensembl:lncRNA
AUCAUUAAUCAUGCUGGAUAUUAAUAACAACGUCUCUUCUUGGUUGGAACAUUCGAUUUUUUUCUUUUUUUUUUCAUAAAUAAACACUAUGAGUGGUUCUAAAUAUCGAUUGCUGCCAGUAAUAGUAACGUGUUUUAGAUAUAGUCUUGCAACAAGACAAUCUGCUGAAGACCAAACCAGACUGAUAUAUAUAUAUGUAUGCAUUUAUAUAGAGCCCAACUAGCUGGGAAGUAUGGCUUGUAUUUACAUGUCUAUAGAGUGCUGAAACUUCAGGAAGGGGUACUGAAAAUCUGUGCCUGGGUGUCUGCAUUUCCAGAGAUGCUGAACAAAGAAAAUCUCUGGGUAAGCUUUUUCUCCAUCUCCUGGCCACGGGAAGACAGAAAGAUUGGACAUUUCCUCUUUUACAGCACAACUUAUGAGUGCACGUUAAAGCACGAGGCCAGUGGUGAUUGUUUUCUAUGUUGUUUCCCCACUAAUUAAGUAUUAUUGAGCAAUACCUUCCUCAUGCCUCCGUUACCACAUCUGGGAAAAGGAACGCUUCCCUCUACAUCAAAUGUCUUGUGGGAGCUGACAUGUAAAUGCCCUGAAACAUUCAUGGCUUGGGAGUGCUCAGAAUUAGGUAGGUCUCUCUAUUCUUCCAACUGAGGAAUAAUGGCUCUUCCUGGAAGAACAAAAGGUAUCAGGGUUGACGUAUCAGUUUUGCUACAGCUCGCUGUACUUGAUGCUGCUUUUUCUUACUGCUGAGCUCUUCACUGAGCAUAUCCCAGCCCACCGCCUGUCACAGGGCAGAGAAAAGCACAGAAGGUGGGAAACAGGAGGUAUAUCUUCACACAGGGAGAGGGAUGUCCAUUUGGUGGGGACGGGCUGUGGGCUACCUGCAGGCACAUCAUUGGAAACCAUCCCCACUGGCUGUGCGAGGGGAUGGAGACAGUGCCGGAAAUUGCUUGCAUUACUUUCCUAAUGCUGGAUCUCCCUCACACGUGGCAAAAUCCCCCCUAGGCCUCCACCUGAUUAAAAAAAAUAUACCAUAGGCAGCAGAUGUGAAGCUGAAGAACGUCCGCGGGUCUGUUUUUCAGAGUCCUGGAUGCUUUUACCCAGUGUUAGAUUUGCAAGUCAUGGGCACGGCGAGGUUGCUGGGCAAAGAUGUACAAGAGCAAGCAGUGGGCUGAGUGCAGGGAACCAUAGAAUCACAGAAUGGCUUCGGUUGAAAAGGGGCCUUAAAGCCUACCCAGUUCCAGCCCCUUGUCCUGGGCAGGGCUGCCUCCCACCACAUCAGGCUGCUCAGGGCCCCAUCCAAGCUGGCCCUGAAUACAUCCAGGGAGGGGGAAUUGCUCUGAACUGUCACUCCUGAUGAGCUGGGCAAUGGGAUGGAGCUCAGCACCCCCAACCAUCAUCCAAGCCAGUGCAGGAUCGGUGCUGGCGGUGCAAAUGAGGUCUGCCAUGACUGCACUAAAGUACUCCCAGCCCCCUCUGAUUACAAAGGGUGCCUGGCAGAACAGGAGUCUGUUUGUCUAUCCCUCUCUGCACAAACAGCCGCCUCUGUAAGUACAUCUCACAUGAGCAAUUAGCCCCGACAAUAAAGAGGUCCCGUCUCUGCGGAGCACUUCGGGGAAGCUGCUCUUUUGCUGGCACCAAAGAGGAGCUCAAACAGUCAGCUCUGCCCAGCCUGCUGCCCUCCUGGGGAGACCACGGGUCUGAAAAAUGUCCCCUUUCUGUUCCAGGGCUCUGUGCCUCCGUGUGACACAUGCGAUGCCAGCGCUCUCCAAACAGCCCCCAGCCACAGAUAAGGCAAGCGCUGAACGCGGAGCCGUGCAGGGAAGGGGCAUGCACGGCUCUGCAGCUCCUGUGAUACCCUGGGGGCAGGGAGAAGUUAUUUUAAGGCCACAGGAAAGAUUAUGCUGUGAAAUUGAAGCUGGCUCCCGCUGCACUUGGAAACCACUCACUCCAGCUCAGCAGUCAUUCUUAUCGCUGACGAAAUGCAAUAGUGAUGAUUCCUCCUCUCUCUCCUUCUCGGGCUUCCUCUGCUUGCUACCAUUUUUCUCCCCUCUCAUCUCACGCAAUUAAAAUCCAAAGAAGAACAGGAAUGAAAUGUGGCCGGUUAUUAUUCAUGCCUCUUUGCAAUGAGGACCUCAGCUGGAUGGCAGGCUUUAUUCACUGCAAAACAAAACAAAACACAAACAAACAAGCAAACAAAACCCACAAAGGGAGUUAGUAGCUCAAAAGCAUGGGAAGUUCUGGUCCCAUAUCUGAAGGAGAGAAGGCAAAUGUGAUGAGAGCAUUGCAAACGGCGUGCCUUGAAGUGUAAGCCUCUUCUUGCUUCGUGCUUUGUGCUAAAAAUAAAAGGGGAAGAAGCAGGGGGAUGUGGAGGGGAGGUCACUCCCAAGCGAGAGCUCUCUGGGGCUGUCUCAAAGCAUCUGCUGUCCCGCAGUGCUCAAAAAGGAGCUUUUGCUAACACGGCUGCUCUUUCAUUUCUGCCCCUGAUUGAUCUAAGUUCCUUUUUUCUAACACUUUCCAGCGGAGAACACACCUUGUUUUGAGGAAACUGAGGCUGAAAUGCUCCUACGCUGCUGUCGCCUUCUCCUACGCUGACAUCACUGCAGGAAUAUAGCCAACCUUGCAAGACCGGUGCAAAACCCACAGGUGGUGACACAGAAGCUUGCUCACAUCUUUGGAAACAACAGAAAGCACAAAUGCGCCUUUCCUUGCCAGCUCCUACGCUAGGAAUCUCUUUAUCUGGUUUUAUCUGGAGGUGGGCAAUCCAGCUCCGUUCCCUUCCUGUGUGCUGCAGCAAGGAACAUGAGCGCUCCCUGCUCCAAGCUCGCUGUCGUCGGGGCUUUGCCUCCGAAGAAGACUCAAUGGCACCAUCUGAUGGCCAUCAGAAGAGCUGUGCGCUCCUGCGGGCGCGGCAGGAUGGUCUCUGAGACAGCUAUUCCCAAGCAGGAACCCUGUUUGUAGCUGGGGUGGUGGUCCUGGUGGGGACAAAGUGAGGCUUUGGAGAGGGAUGGCAGCGUCGGGAUUUGGCCAUGUGAGGCCCUCUUGAUGCAGGCGGUUUUGUCCUGGUCCAGGUCCAGUGGGGAUUUAUUCGCUCCCAGCUCCAGCGUCCCUCUGGAAGAUCACUCCUGGAGACUGUGAAGGAGAGAGGAGAGGCAAAGAUAUUUCCUGAAACCGAAGCCCUGAGAGGGACACGUGAGAGGUGCAAAUCGAUGCUGCACUUCCGAGAGCCUCCAGACUCCCUGGAUCAGCAAUAAUAGAAGGUUGAGAUCAUUGCUAAUGGCUUCGGUGGGUGUGAGAGCCAAGGGCAGCCAGUCCGUGCAGGAGAAGGGCUUGGUACUGCCUGCAUCUGUCAGCGGCUCUGCCUGGCGCAGCCCCGGCAGAUGGAGAGGGUGAGCGCACCAGGAAGAUCCUUUUUCACCACUUCUCUGCACACAGAGCAUUCUUCUCAUGAGGAGAGGAGUCAAGGCUUCAUUGUUGGCCAGGUGCUGUCAAACAUGCAGCUGAGCCGUUGUUGAGAGCAGAGCUGGUGAGACCACAGGAGUUGUGUGAGCUGGAUGGCUCCUCACGCUCCCCUGGGUUAUCUUGCUGGCUGCUUCCUCUUCAGUCUCCUCUGAUAUAACAUCACAGAAUCAUUUAGGUUGGAAAAGACAUUCAGGAUCACAAAAUCCAACCAUCAAGCUUGCCUAGUGAGUUCCAUGAUUAAAACAUGGCCCUUAGUGCCAUACUCACACCUCUCAGUGUCUCUACCCCUUAUAUACUUUCUUAAAUGCCUGCAAGGAAGGAGACUUCCCCAGACCUAAGAGGUUAUUCUGCUACCUGAGAAACCUCAGUGCUUCUGCCUGGCUCUGGAGGCAAGGUGCCCAUUGGUGGAACUGGGCUGAAGCAGCUCUUCCAUCACAGUACAGAGGCUGAGCGUCUCACGCUCAUGCUGGCCCUUAUCCCCAGCGGCUGCCCUGUGCAUCAGUUAAUGGGAAAGGCAGGGCAGGGAGAGGCAGCUCUGGCAGCACUUUGACUUUAUGAUGCCUUUCUGCUUGGCAUCAGCGAGGUCUGAGGGCUGUCUCUGGUGGGUUAAUGCUCUCUGGCUGGAGACGAGGCAGUCUGGCCCUUGCUCGGGGCACCACGGAGUCUGCCGUGCCCAGGCAGGCUCUGCAUCACCACACUGUGCCUAGGGAUGCCGGGGCACAGCUGAAGCCGAGCCCGGAAGCCAGCUCUGCAGGGCUCAAAGGUGCGGUGCUACUGCUCACACUAAAAGGAUGGGCUGAUCACGGGAGGACGGCUGCUGGGCAGCGCUUGGUCCUCAGGACACUCCAACACAGACCGGGAGGAAACGGGGACCACACCCGGCCCCCUCUGGCUGAUGAAGGAGACGGGUUGGGAUGUCAGUAAGGGCUCUCCUUCCCACCCCCUGGCGUGCACAGGCGGAACGCUGCCGGCUGAGCGUCUCCGGGCUGCGGGAGCCGCCGCUAGAGGCUGCUCCAGGCUGAUCCCUGCCGGGCUGCGGGCUCUCCCACCUGCGACCGGAUGGACGACGGCAAUCUCCUUCUUCCCCCCGCUGUGAGCGCACGGAGGCCAAAAAAAAAUCUUCACCUGCUCCGGUUCUCUCGUGUAUCUCCUGACCUCCGGGGCACCUUCCCGUGCUCCUGUUCCCGUGGGGGUGGAUCAUAUUUGCCCGAGACGGGUGUGCACCGCUGUGCGUGCCGGUGCCUGUUUUCUCAGUGAGGUAAUCCUCUAAAGUGGAAUGACCCGGGGAGAUAAUGUCAGCGCAGAGCCUGUGGGUGCAGCAGGGCC